rnacentral:tRNA from 1 species
CGCGGGGUGGAGCAGUGGUAGCUCGUCGGGCUCAUAACCCGGAGGUCGUCGGUUCGAAUCCGACCCCCGCAACCA